UACGGAGGGGGCUAGCGUUGUUCGGAAUUACUGGGCGUAAAGCGCACGUAGGCGGCUUUGUAAGUAAGAGGUGAAAGCCUGGUGCUCAACACCAGAACUGCCUUUUAGACUGCAUCGCUUGAACACGGGAGAGGUGAGUGGAAUUCCGAGUGUAGAGGUGAAAUUCGUAGAUAUUCGGAAGAACACCAGUGGCGAAGGCGGCUCACUGGACAUGUAUUGACGCUGAGGUGCGAAAGCGUGGGGAGCAAACAGG
rnacentral:rRNA from 1 species